GCCAACACUUCGGCCACAUGGCCACAUGGAUUAUACGUAAUUUACACUUCCACUUUAUCAAAUACAAUAUCACCCAGCCGCCACCAGAAUGUGAAAAUGUCUGUAUGGGAGAAUUAAACUAGCUCUCUCAAUUAAUGUAUCCAUUUCACGUCUUCAUAUAACACUUUCUAUUAACUCCAUCCUGAUAUAAUUUUCUUGCCUUUCCC